AAUGAACGUUGGCGGCGUGGAUUAGGCAUGCAAGUCGAGCGAGAACCGACCUUCGGUUGGGGACGAGCGGCGAACGGCGUAGUAAUGCGUAGGAACGUACCCUCGGUCGGGGAGUAGCUACGGGAAACUGUAGGUAAUACCCGAUGAUCUCUGCGGAGCAAAGGUGAGAUUCCGCCGGGGGAGCGGCUUACGUGAUAUUAGCUUGUUGGUGGGGUAAUGGCCUACCAAGGCAACGAUGUCUAGGGGGGUGUGAGAGCAUGGCCCCCACGACCGGAACUGAGAUACUGUCCGGACACCUACGGGUGGCUGCAGUCGAGAAUCUUCCGCAAUGGGCGAAAGCCUGACGGAGCGACGCCGCGUGGUGGAUGAAGGCCCUUGGGUUGUAAACACCUGUCAGAGGGGAUGAAGUCGUUGGAGGUACUCCUCCUUCGUUGACAGAGCCUCAAAGGAAGCACGGGCUAAGUACGUG
rnacentral:rRNA from 1 species